GAUGAACGCUGGCGGCGUGCCUAAUACAUGCAAGUCGAGCGAAUGGAUUAAGAGCUUGCUCUUAUGAAGUUAGCGGCGGACGGGUGAAUAACACGUGGGUAACCUGCCCAUAAGACUGGGAUAACUCCGGGAAACCGGGGCUAAUACCGGAUAACAUUUUGAACCGCAUGGUUCGAAAUUGAAAGGCGGCUUCGGCUGUCACUUAUGGAUGGACCCGCGUCGCAUUAGCUAGUUGGUGAGGUAACGGCUCACCAAGGCAACGAUGCGUAGCCGACCUGAGAGGGUGAUCGGCCACACUGGAACUGAGACACGGCCCAGACUCCUACGGGAGGCAGCAGUAGGGAAUCUUCCGCAACGGACGAAAGUCUGACGGAGCAACGCCGCGUGAGUGAUGAAGGCUUUCGGGUCGUAAAACUCUGUUGUUAGGGAAGAACAAGUGCUAGUUGAAUAAGCUGACACCUUGACGGUACCUAACCAGAAAGCCACGGCUAACUACGUGCCAGCCGCCGCAGUAA
rnacentral:rRNA from 1 species